GAGGAGAACCGAGUAUUACAAUGCGCACCUUGUAAUGAUACAAUGUGUAAUAUCUUGAUACAACUUGUAACAUCAAUGCUACGUGACAGUAAAAUCAACACGCGAAUGCUCCUGGUGAGGGAGCACCUUUAGUCGUGGUGUGGACAAAG